rnacentral:lncRNA from 1 species
UAAUCAGGCAUAAUAGAAUGAAAGGAAGUAAAUAACCAACUAACAGAUGCAACUAAUAUGCCUGAACAAUAUAAAAUGAUAUGCACAAUGUAAAGCUCAUGAUGAAUGCAAGGUCAUAGUGUCAAUACCCAAUCUCUUGGCUAACCCGUAGGUUUCGCCCUCAACAAACUCACCAACUCAAAAUUCUAAUGAUCAGGGAGAUACUCGCUACACCCGAUGGGACCGCCCUCUGGGGAGAUACUCGCUACACCCAGUGAUGUCAANCACGGGGACCGGUCUCUCCUUCAAGGACCGGUCCCCGAGAGCUCAAAAUCUGGGAUUUAGCCAGAUUUUCAGAUUUGCUCUCCGGGUCCCUUUUUGCUUUGUUUAUGAACUCUAAUGCACUUAGGGUCCAUUCUAACUCGUUCAAUUCCGCGUUCCGCUCAUUUUGACGGAACUCGGCACGAUUUACGAGGGAUGUGGUUUGUUACAUCUUGCAUGAUCGCUCUGCGGAUGUCUUUGUUCUUAGGCACACACCAACGGUUUCUAAACCGGAGUGCGCCGUCGGUCCCAAUGCCAAAAUCUUCGGCACUACCGCUCUGAACUUCCCCGCGCACCUUUUGGAGAUAUUCUUCUGAAGCUUGCAACUCUUUAAUCCUCUCCAAUAGAGUCGGUUGAACAACCAAUGCCACAAGUGUUGCCGGCACUCGGUGCUACUACUUCCAAACCAAGCCGUUGCAUCUCCUUUUGCAAUAACGGUUGGGGUGUAAUUGCCAAAGCCAAAUUCUCCCGAUUUCCUACUAAGUUCAUCGGCCACGACAUUCGCCUUCCCAGGGUGGUAUAGAAUAGUAACAUCGUAGUCUUUCAACAAUUCCAACCACCACCGCUGUCGCAUAUUUAGCUCCUUUUGGGUGAACAGGUAUUUAAGGCUUUUGUGAUCCGUAUAGAUCUCACAAUGUUCUCCGUAUAAGUAAUGCCUCCAUAGCUUUAGCGCGAAAAUAACCGCCGCUAGCUCAAGAUCAUGAAUCGGGUAGUUUUUUUCAUAUGUCUUCAAUUGGUGUGAAGCAUAGGCUAUAACCCGCCCAUUUUGCAUCAAGACACACCCGAGCCCUACAUAGGAAGCAUCACUAUAUACCACAAAGGUCUCCCCCGGCGUCGGUAGAGCAAGCACCGGGGUCGUGGUCAAUCUUUUCUUUAGCUCCUCAAAGCUCCGCUCGCAAUCGGGGCUCCAAACAUACUUCACCCCUUUGUGUGUAAGGCGCGUUAGUGGAGUAGUUAUUUUAGCGAACCCCUCCACGAACCGCCGAUAGUAGCCGGCAAGUCCAAGAAAACUGCGGACCUCUGAUACACUCGUCGGGCGAGGCCAAUCCUUAAUUGCCUCCACCUUCCUCGGAUCCACCGAGAUACCAUCGCCCGAAAUUACAUGACCAAGGAAAGUGGCCUCCGAUAGCCAAAAGUCGCAUUUCUUCAACUUGGCAUAUAACUUUUCUUUUCGGAGUAUUUCCAACACGAUUCUCAAGUACUCCUCGUGUUUUUCCUCGGUCCGAGAAUAUACCAAUACGUCGUCAAUGAAUACCACGACGCACCGGUCCAAUAGCGGACGGAAGACUCUAUUCAUUAAGUCCAUGAACGCCGCCGGGGCGUUAGUAAGCCCAAACGGCAUCACCGUGAACUCAUAAUGGCUAUACCGCGUACGGCACGCCGUCUUGUGCACAUCUUCGGGCCGUAUCUUCAACUGAUGAUACCCCGAUUGAAGAUCAAUCUUUGAAUAUACCCUUGACCCCUGCAACUGGUCGAAUAAGUCAUCAAUCCUCGGCAUUGGGUACUUAUUCUUCACUGUGACCUUGUUCAACUCGCGGUAAUCCACGCAGAGUCGAAGUGUGCCGUCCUUCUUCUUAACGAAUAGCACCGGAGCUCCCCAAGAUGACACACUAGGCCGCACAAAGCCUUUGUCGAGCAAAUCUUGCAAUUGUGCCUUAAGCUCUUUUAGCUCCGCCGGUGCCAUUCUAUACGGGGCCUUCGAGAUUGGCGCCGCCCCCGGGACCAAGUCAAUAACGAACUCGAUCUCCCGGUCCGGUGGCAAUCCCAGUAACUCCGCCGGAAAUACAUUCGAGAAUUCGCACACCACCCGAAUGCCUCCCAAAUCCGGGUGCUCUUUUUGGGCUUCCACCAUUGUCGCAAAGUAGGCUACACAACCACUUUUUAUCAUUUUCCUCGCCCGUGCCGCCGACAUGGUCGCCGCGAAAAGCGAGCUUUUAGCUGCCUGAUACACUAGCUCCUCUUGAUCAGGCUCGCGAAACGUGAUCACCUUACUUUCGCAAUCUAUCACGGCAUAAUACUUGGAGAGCUAGUUGGUCCCCAAGAUCACGUCGAAUCCCCACAUCCGAUUCAACACCAACAGAUCAAUCGGCAUGACCCAGUCACCUAUUUGCACUGGGCACGCAACACAUUCUUCGUGAACAUGAAAAGUAUGCUUGACCGAAUUUACCGUCCAAUAGUCAUAAUGGUGCACGAUCUUAAUGCCAUGAGUCCUAGCGAAUGAUGCAUCUAUGAAUGAAUGCGAUGCACCUAUGUCGAAUAAAGCUCUAGCUCUGGUGCCUCUGAUCGAAAUAAUACCUGCCACGAUGUCGUCGGGAACAGGAAUCGGCUCCUCCUACACCUGAGUGGCAAAAACCCGCCCACUCGAUGCCCUCGAUGCCUCCGGCUGACGCGAUGAGGACGAACGUCCAGCCGACAAAGCCGGUGGUAACCCCGCCUGCUGUCUCGGGGUAUAAGGAACUGAUGCCGAGGUCGGUGCAGAUGAGCCCCAGCUCGGGCACUCCCGAAUCAUGUGCCCCGCCUGGCCGCACCUGAAGCAUUUUCCUUCGCCCUGCGGGCAUGCCGGUGGUUGAUGGUUACCGCCGCAAAUAACGCAACGGGAGGGUCUCCAACCAUUCGACUACGGUCGGGGAUACCGAGGGGGUUUCUUUGCACUCGGUCGGCCCCCGGUGCCACCCGCCACCCGUUUCUUGCUCUUAUCCCUUGCCUCAGCUACGGCUUCGCGCUCCUCACGCUCGUGGGCAUAGCCCUGCUCUGCCCACAGUGCUCGAUCAAAAGCCUCGGCGAAGGUCGGAAGCUUGAGGAUUUGCACGGCCCGAUGAAUCCCCGGCCGAAGCCCACGCAUAAACCAAUCGGCCCGGUCCCGAUCAUCACGAACUACAUCCGGGACACAGUCGAUAAUGUGGGAGAACUCCCGCUCGUACUCCCCCACCGAUCUGUCGCCCUGCUUCAACUUGCGGAACUUUUCUUGCAACUUCCACUUCUCCGUGUCGGGAAAAUAGUUGGCGAACAACGCCCUCUUAAACUCCUCCCAAAGCAUAGGCGGGAGGUCAGAAGAUCGAUCCCGCUUCACUCGCUUCCACCACACCUUGGCCGCCUUCUCGAGGCAGUGUGUGGCGAGAGGUACUUUGUCUUUCUCUAAGGAAUAGAUGUCCUCGAAGAGCGUCUCCAUCGAGUCGACCCAUGCCUCGACUACCGCCGGAUCCAUCUUCUCCCCGUCGAAGAUAGGUGGGUUGAACUUCUUGAACAAAACGAGCGCCUCCAACGCACGCUCCCGCUCCGCCUCUACCGCCGCACUAUCGGGAUUUGAGGUCCCCGAUCCUGCCGGCACCAUCGUAAUUAGUACGGCCGCCGCGGCCACACCCUUGGCCACACUCGGCACCACUGCAGGAGGCGCAGGGUGCACGGCCUCCACGGGCGCCGCCGCCGUCGCCGCCUGUUGCCGCUCCAAAGCCUCCUGGAGCCUCUGGAUCUGCUCCCCUUGGCGCUGAACGGAUUCCGCCUGCUGCCGCACUACGCCAAUAAGCGCGGCCAUCUGCUCCCGAAGCUCCCCGUCGCCACCUGCUCCGGGUUGCACGGGAGCCGCACUUGGCUCCUCGGCCAUAGACCUCGUCCGCGGUCGACCACGAGGCAACUUCGGUCGUCCACGAGGCGGCAUCGCUUCCUGAAAUGAAGCAAUUCACGUUAGUUACUCAGACAAUAUACUCGAUUAUACCCAAUCCCGCGAAAGCAUACAAGUGCAUUUAUUCUCCUUCCAAAGCAUAAUGUCGUCGGCCGCCGACCACAACACAAAGGAAAGAAAACAAAUAACAACUUUAAGUUAGCCUCUAACCACAUUAGAGACUUAUUAGCAUUAACCCAAUCAUAAGCUUUCGCUAUACUUGUUCAACGUCACUCACGUUUCCUAGAUCCUUAAGGUCUUUCCAUUCCUAAGGGUCUCUAGGUCCAUCCUAUGCUUUCACCUUUGGCUCUUUUACGCUCUGAUACCAUAUUAUCUGUCACGCCCCGAGCCCGAUCCUUUUUGGCCGGUUCGAGAGCGUCAAACAGACGCCGAACGGACAGAGCUUCCCCUGUCCGCCCAAGGCUCAACACUAGUAUCAAUAGAAUACAAUUUGCAUAAGCAGAAGCAUACACAAUGGCUUGCGCGAGGGCAAUCAAUAGCCAAGGUGAAAGAAUUAACAAUUCAAUAUACAAGUGAUAUGACUAAAUUUAAAUCACAUACAUGCAUCCAACUAUAAUCAAGUUGUUCACAAUCUUGCAUCAUUUCUUUUUACAUCUCAUUUCACCCAAAAUAUAACUUUUGACAUUUAAAAUAAAUAUCCCUUACAUCAUUCAUUAAAGCAAGUUCAUGAUACUAAAAUCAUCAAAUACAAAAGAUGAUAGCAAAGGGUAUGCAACUACAAAAUGAUAACUAUCUCGGGCGGUCUCUACCUAGGGCGUGAUGCCCUUGCCGCGAUCGUCUGCCGGCUCGCUGGGUCCCGGCUCUGUGAAAUAGGGGUGUGAGAACUACAACAAAGUUCCCAGUGGAUUCGGCAACCAACCACACCGACUAUCCCACUAGGUCUAAUCAGGCAUAAUAGAAUGAAAGAAAGUAAGUAACCAACUAACAGAUGCAACUAAUAUGCCUGAACAAUAUAAAAUGAUAUGCACAAUGUAAAGCUCAUGAUGAAUGCAAGGUCAUAGUGUCAAUACCCAAGCUCUUGGCUAACCCGUAGGUUUCGCCCUCAACAAACUCACAAACUCAAAAUCCCAAUGAUCGGGGAGAUACUCGCUACACCCGAUGGGACCGCCAUCUGGGGAGAUACUCGCUACACCCAGUGAUGUCGACUCCGGAGCACAUCGCCCGAGGGGGAGCUACCACAACCUCGAGCAAGGACUAAAGUGAGUACGAUCAAUCCUACAUUUGAGGAUUCCAAGUUCAAUCCAUUCCUUAACUUUAAGGAAGACUAUGCUCAAUUGACCCUUAACACUAAGGUUGAAUGUCAUAAUAUCUCAAUCGUUCUUGUUCUUGCAUUCUUUACUAUCACCAAUGUCAUAUAC